UGCGCAGGCGGGAAAUUAAGUCAGUGGUGAAAUCCUGCAGCUUAACUGUAGAAUUGCCAUUGAAACUGAUUUUCUUGAGUACAGUUGAGGUGGGCGGAAUGUGUAAUGUAGCGGUGAAAUGCUUGGAUAUUACACAGAACACCGAUUGCGUAGGCAGCUCACUAAACUGUUACUGACGCUCAGGCACGAAAGCGUGGGGAGCGAACAGGAUUAGAUACCCUGGUAGUCC
rnacentral:rRNA from 1 species